rnacentral:lncRNA from 10 species
CUGUGUUGGUAGGGACAUCUGAGAGUAAUGAUGAAUGCCAACCGCUCUGAUGGUGGCACAUGCCGAGUCACCCGAGUAAGCUAUUGUUAAGGGCCGUGACCCGAGCCUCCAUCAGCCGUCCGCUCUCAUGAAAGGCUGUCGGUGGUAGUCCACGUGCUUAAGUGCCUGCAUUCCGCAGUGUCACCAAUAUUUCCAUUAGUGUUUCUUUUUUCUUUUUUGAGACCGAGCCUCGUUCUGUCACCCAGGCUGGAAUGCAGUGGCUCGACAUCGGUUAAUGGCAACCUCCGCGUCCCGAGUUAAGCAGUUCUGCCUCAGCCUCCCAAGUAACUGGGACUACAGGCGCGCGCCACCAUGCUAGGCUUUUAUAUUUUUAGUAGAGACGGGGUUUCACCAUGUUGGCGAGACUGGUCUUGAACUCCUGACCUCAGGUGAUCCACCAGCCGUGGUCCCCCAACAUACUGGGAUUACAAGCCGUGAGCCACCGCGCCCGGCCGCCAUCGGUGGUUCUUAACUGCGGGUGCAGUGCUUCUUUGUAACAUUAAGUGUAUCCUUUACCUGUCGCUAGAUAAUGAAUGGUAUGGUGCUGGGUGCAGAUGCAGUGUGGCUCUGGAUAGCACCUUAUGGACAGUUGUGUCCCCAAGGAAGGAUGAGAAUAGCUACUGAAGUCCUAAAGAGCAAGCCUAACUCAAGCCAUUGGCACACAGGCAUUAGACAGAAAGCUGGAAGUUGAAAUGGUGGAGUCCAACUUGCCUGGACCAGCUUAAUGGUUCUGCUCCUGGUAACGUUUUUAUCCAUG